GUUAAAAAGCUCGUAGUUGGAUUUCUGUUGAGGUCGGGCGGUGUACACCUCGUGUAUUAUUUGCUUCGGUCUCGGCAUCCUCUUGGGGAACGUACGGACCUUCAUUGGACUGUGCGAGAUUCAAGACUUUUACUUUGAGGAAAUUAGAGUGUUCACGGCAGGCAAGUGCUUUGAAUACAUUAGCAUGGAAUAAUAAUAUAGGACCUUCGUUCUAUUUUGUUGGUUUCUAGAACUUAGGUAAUGAUUAAUAGGGACAAUUGGGGGCAUUCGUAUUAACGCGUCAGAGGUGGAAUUCUUGGAUUGCGUUACGACGAACUACUGCGAAAGCAUUUGCCAAAGAUGUUUUCAUUGAUCAAGAACGAAAGUAUGGGGAUCGAAGACGCUUAGAUACCGUCGUAGUCUAUACCAUAAACUAUGCCAACUAGGGAUUGGACGGGUUAUCCUAUGUGGCUCGUUCAGCACCUUAUGAGAAAUCAAAG
rnacentral:rRNA from 1 species